UACGUAGGGGGCUAGCGUUGUCCGGAAUCAUUGGGCGUAAAGCGCGUGUAGGCGGUCCGGUAAGUCCGCUGUGAAAGUCGGGGGCUCAACCCUCGAAUGCCGGUGGAUACUGUCGGGCUAGAGUGCGGAAGAGGCGAGUGGAAUUCCUGGUGUAGCGGUGAAAUGCGCAGAUAUCAGGAGGAACGCCAAUUGCGAAGGCAGCCAGCUGGGACGUAACUGACGCUGAGACGCGAAAGCGUGGGGAGCAAACAGG
rnacentral:rRNA from 1 species